rnacentral:lncRNA from 1 species
AAUCUGAUUUAGGCUCAAGCCAAAAACAUACCAGAUCCAUAUUGAGCGUGUUCAGUAUUUGUUCAGUAGAGCAGCAUUAGGUAUCUCAUACAGGAUGUGUAUUUGGAGCGUGGCAGCAGCAUAGUGCGGCCCCGGUCAGCUGGGCUCAGUAUAGAGGAAACAACAUGCUCAAAACAGGUUGUUUCGCCUUACUGUGGUGUAUUUCCUGCUAAUCUGGAUAUAAUUCAGUGACCGCUGAGCCUCUACUAUAUGUGGAAAAAGCAACGUGAUUUUACAGUUUCGGUUUUUGCAGGUUUACUUGUGUUUAUUAAAGUAAACUAUGUUCCUUUAUGAAGUGCUGUUACCUUUAGACAGAGUUAGCAGUUAAAAGUCCUGUUGGGGUCCAAAUGGUUCAGGGAUUGUCCAUCAGAUUGUUCUGUGUUAUUGAUAAAUUCAUAACCAGGAAGUAUUUCUCAUCAACAAGGACUGAUACACAGUCGUGAGUUUACAUACAGUGUUUAAUUUUGAAAUACCGAAUGAUAUGCAUGGUUUUUGUGCUUGACUCUCUAUCUGGAACGAUUUUCUCUGUGUGGAUUGACGUGCAUUGGAGGCGUAGAGCAGCAAAAAAAGACUCGCCGCGUAUCUUUAGCAGUGCUGCUCUCGAUACGGUGGUGGAUGGAGCGUCCUGUAUGCUUUGCUGCAUUGAUUAGAAUGGCAACCUAUUUUCUGCGUGAUACGUGACACUGCUGCCACACUCCAAAUACGCAUCCUGUAUGUUUUAGCCUUUAGGUGAAACAGGUUUAUGAAUGUUAGAGGAGCCUGUCCUCUUAUUUUAGUAUCUCUAACCUCUUAUACCUAAACAGCAUCACUUGAAACUUUAGACCAGGUUUUUUUUGUUUGCAGUGAUUUCCUCUCUGAAAUCAGACCCACAAUCUGAAAAUCUUUGGCUGAUAUCCUCUUGCAUUCGAGGUUUGCGAAUAAUGUCAAUGAAGCAACUUUGAUAAACUGAUACCUUGUCUGGGUGGUAGGGCUGUUAGUUAUCAGGCUUUUCUCUACUGGAUUCAUCUGCCUGUCGGGGUGCAGGGGCAGACACCCUCUCUGAUUUGAAGAGCAGGUUGGAGCUGGUUUAGGUUUGAACCAUCACUUAGUUUAUUAUGCUACAGGCUCAGACUGCUAUCGACUUAGGGCCAAUCCCAAUCCGGCUGUUAAGCUGUGACGUAGCCGCGUUCUCUUUUUCCACUUCCGGGUCCAGCGGAGUUGUUGUUAUAAUGCCUCAGUGCUAUGUCCCUUGCUGCUUAAACUGAUCAGAGACAAAAACAGCGACUAAACUAUCAUUCUACAGAUUUCCUCCCAACAACAAAGACAACAAAAUAACUUCAUCAUUUCUGUAUUGUAUCCAUAGACUGUAUACAGUCUAUGAUUGUAUCACAAACACACGGCAUCACAUCCAUUCAUUCAUUGAAUUCAAAGCUUCGCGCACCAAAGCCUCGGGGUGUCUUUGGUUUAUCGUUUUACAUUUAUAGUCCACUUGAUGGCGCAAUAGAGCAAAUGAAGCACGAUCAUGAAGCUUCGGCCCAUGAGGCGAGUAAUUGGAUGGAAAGCUUCGAUGCUUCAUGAGGCUUCAUCUCGCCAUCACUAAAAUUUACGUUAAUAAAUCUAUCCGAGUUGAAAGCUUUAAGUCCCUUUUUAACUCUGAGUGGUUCCCUUCUGAAAAAGGACGUUAUUUUAAAGAGAUUCACGGGUUCCGCCAUUGUUGUUUUGAAUGGAGAGUGAAUGGAGGCUGAUUCCCCAUGGACCCAGAAGCCGCUCCACUCACAAAAUGACGUCACGCUUAACAGCCGGAUAGUCACUCUUUCCCCUUCCCCUUCCACUUCGUCUUACCCCUUUGUCUACCCCUUCCCCUUGACCCUGAAAACAGAGUGAAAACAAGCUCCUAAGAAACGAGGCGCCACUCGAUUCCUGCUACAUCAUCAUACUUUGCUGUUUGCAGUGAAUUUGCCACCCGAGUCUGACAUCAGUGUAGCUAUCAAUAGCUAUAGUCUCAUAAGCUAGCUCAUCAUAACUCACGAUUUUAAAACGCAAACAAUUCAAAACAUCACUAAUAUUUGCACUACUGAAAAUUGUUAAUGACCUUAGGUGCAACUUGGACUCACACAAGCUUACAGUCCUUGUGCUACUGGAUCUAAGCGCUGCUUUUGAUACAGUAAAUCACACAAUUCUUUUAAAUAGACUUAGGCACCUUGUAGGCCUCUCUGGUACUGCCUUUCAAUAGUUUAACUCCUAUCUCACAUAUCGAAAGUUUCUUGUAAGUUUGGACAUAUGCUCUUCAAAGAUUCAUAGCAUUAAAUGUGGUGUGCCCCAAGGCUCAAUUUUAGGCCCCAUACUUUUUAAUUUAUAUAUGCUCCCACUGGGAGAUAUCACCAGGACGCAUGGUAUCACUUUUCACAGCUAUGCUGAUGACACAUAGCUCUACAUAUCCAUGUCUCCUGAUGACACAGGGCCAAUCGAUGCCCUUUUUAGCUGUAUCCUAGACAUUAAAUUCUGGAUGGCAGAAAACUUCCUACAGCUCAACCAGGACAAAACUGAGGUUUUAAUUAUCGACCCUAAGGCUCAGGGAGAGAAACUUUGGACAAAACUGAAAACCCUGUCUUUAAUUCCAUCAAAUCAGGUAAAGAAUCUGGGCAUCAUCUUUGACUCUGAGCUGACUUUUAUUCCACAUAUUAAAAAUAUAACAAAAACAGGGUUUUAUCAUCUAAAGAAUAUAGCCAGAGUCCGCCCCUUUCUCUCCCGGACUAACACAAAGACGCUAAUGCAUGCUUUUAUCUCUAGUCGUCUUGACUAUUGUAAUGCCCUGCUUUCUGGUCUUCCAAAAAGAAACAUUGCAAGUUUAUAACUGUUGUAAAACUCAGCAGCACGUGUGCUGACGAGGACCAGAAGGUGGGCACAUAUUACACCGGUUUUAAAAUCACUGCAUUGGCUCCCUGUGUGCUCUAGGAUUGACUUUAAGGUCCUUUUAAUGGUUUUUAAAUGUCUUAGGGGUCCUGGACCGUCUUAUCUUUAAGAUUUGCUUUUACAACAUGAACCCUCGCAGACCCUGAGAUCCGCUGGCACUGGCCUUUUAAUAGUCCCCAAAGUGAGAACACAAACUUACGGUGAGGCAUCUUUCCAGCACUAUGGCCUCCAUCUUUGGAAUAGCCUGCCGGAGGACCUUGGGGCCGCAGAGAAUGUUCAUAUUUUUAAAAGCAGGCUCAAGACCCACCUUUUUAAUUUGGCUUUUAACUAAUGUAUUUAUUUAAUGUAUCUUAUAUUUAAUCUAUAUUUUUAUCCUAUUUUGAUCUUAUUUUAUUUCAAUUAUAUAUUUUAGUCCUCAUUUUACAUGUUAUGUUUAUUCGAUUUUUUCAAUUAUUUUUAAAUGAUAUUUUAGCUAUUUAUUAGUAUUUUAUAAUUUUAUCUAGUUUAAUGUUUUUAGCUGGUUUAGUUUAUGUUUUUAUUGCAUUUCUCCAGUGUUUCCUCAGUAAGGGGGCCACCUGCACUGGAGGCUGUGACUGGCUCUGUCUAGGGUUUCUCUGCCUUGCGAUGUGCACUCAGCUCGGCCAGGUGGUGGUCUGCAGCAGUGCUUGCUGCUGUGGGCCUCUUACUGGCCUGUAGCAGGGUGCGCACCCAAGUGGAGGUGUCUGGCCCUGGGCCGUGAGCGGCCUCCUGACGUUUCCUGACUUGGCUCCACUGUACUCAGCCGCAUGUUUUUAAGAUAACAUUAUCUGUGUGUGUGUGUGUGUGUGUGUGUGUGUGUGUGUGUGUGUGUGUGUGUGUGUGUGUGUGUGUGUUGGGGUGGGCUCUCGGUGAGGGUUGGGAGGGUGGGGUGGUGGGCUGGAUAUGGGGGGGCUCAUUGUUUUAAAUUGUAAAGCACUUUGUGCUGCAUUUCUUUUUGCCUGAAAAGUGCUAUAUAAAUAAAGUUUGAUUUGAUUUGAUUUACAUGGAGUAGCAAAGGAUUGAAUAUCUAAGUGUCCCUACUGUAUAAAUCAUAUCAAAAUCUUAUCCCUGGCUUUCAAGUGAGGUCCUGGUAUGUCUUCGUUUUAAGGGCUGUGUACCCCUUGACCUGAGCCCUUUCCUUUAACCUUACAGAGAACUGGGACACCCCUUCGCUUGAUGUGAACGCGCAAAACUGAGGGCUAAGGGGUACAAAUGGGGAUUGACUCCUUAGUCUCCCCAGGGAACUGGUACAUUAAGCUCCUGUUUUGCCCUCUCUGUCCUCUAGUUUAUGUGUCACAUACUUUAAAUCUGUAAGUCCUUUUUAAGUCCCUGACCACAGAUCUUUCUGGGUGUCCUUAAGCUCCCUUGUCUUGUUGGUUCCUCUGGAUUGCUGCUGCAGAUAUCCUGCUGAUGUGGACCUGCUGACUUUCUCACAUUUAUUACUACCAUUGUAAAGUUAAUGUUAAACUGUGUUAGACACUUUGCACCUGCUGUUUUUGUAGAGUGGUUUGGUGUGACGUCUUAUGUUAUAUAAAUUUAAUUUUUCUCUUGACUGGCUGACCUAAAUUGAUGGGGCCUUGUUUCUUACAUGUUACAGUAUAAGAACUUCUGUGAGUAUAGUUUUGGAUAGGAUAAAUGUGAAAUUAGCGAAGUCAGCGGCCAUAGUUCAGUGUCUCCCGGGGGCCAGAGCGGGCGACAUCGAAGGUAGUUUAAAACUGCUGGCAAAGGCUAAACGUAAAUUCCGUAAGAUUGUAAUACAUGUCGGCGUAAAUGACUCCCGACGCCGCCAGUCGGAAGUCACUAAAUUGAACGUGGAAUCGGUGUGUGAAUAUGCCAAGACCAUGUCGGGCUACGUAGUUUUCUCUGGUCCCCUGCCCGAUCAGACAACUGAUGAGAUGUGUAGCCGUAUCUCAUCAUUCAACCGCUGGCUGUCGAGGUGGUGUCCACAAAACGGCGUGAGCUUCAUUGAUAAUUGGAAGUCAUUUUGGGGCAAGCCUGGUCUGAUUAGUCGGGACGGCAUUCAUCCCACCCGAGAUGGAGCGGCCCGUUUAUCCAGAAAUCUGGCCGAUUUUAUUAAUCCGAACCACUGACAAUUCAAAGCAGAGAUCAGGGAGCAGGGCCGCAGUCUUACACGCCCCCCUGCGCCUCUUUUAGAGCAGCCUCCCAGCCACUACCACUUAUACACAGAGACAAGGGAGCAGAGCCGCAGUGUAAAACGCCCUUCUGUACUCCCUUCAGAGCAGCUUCCAAGCUACAAUCAGCUUGACUUAGAAAUCAGGGAGCAGAGCCACAGUGUAAAACGUCCCUCUGUACUCCCUUCAGAGCAGCUUCCAAGCUUCUCUCAGCUUGACAUAGAAAUCAGGGAGCAGAGCCACAGUGUAAAACGUCCCUCUGUACUCCCUUCAGAGCAGCUUCCAAGCUACUCUCAGCUUGACAUAGAAAUCAGGGAGCAUAGCCACAGCUCUACACGUUCCUCUGUACUUUUGUUAGAGCAGCCUCCUAGCUACUGUCACUUUAAUAUAGAGACUGUGUCUGUCCCUCGUACUCGGCUCUCAAAUUCUAACCGAUCAAUUAAAAAAGGAGUAAAUAACAAGAACCUUACUAGAAUUAAGACUGUUAACAUAGCUGAACCAAGUACUAGUAAGAUAAAAUGUGGCCUACUGAAUAUAAGGUCUCUAAAUUCAAAAUCUGUGUUAAUAAAUGAACUAAUCUCUGAUCAUCGCAUUGAUUUACUCUCCCUAACCGAAACAUGGCUGCGUAAGGAUGAAUAUGUAAGUUUAAAUGAAUCCACUCCUCCUAGCCACCUAAACUUUCACAUUCCUCGAGACUCUGGCCGAGGUGGUGGAGUUGCAGCUAUCUACAAUUCCAGUCUUAGAAUUAACCCAAGACCAAAACUAGAUUAUAACUCUUUUGAAAGUCUCGUUCUCAGUCUCCCGCACCCAGCCUCAAAGUCCAUGAGACCACUGGUAUUUGCUAUAGUUUACCGCCCUCCGAGCCCAUACUCUGAGUUUUUGUCAGAGUUCUCAGAGUUCCUAUCCGAAUUAGUCCUUCUCGCAGAUAAAGUCAUCGUCGUCGGUGACUUUAAUAUUCACAUAGAUGUGGAAAAUGAUAGCCUAAGCAUUUCUUUUCGGUCCUUGCUAGAUUCAAUUGGGUUUACACAGUGUGUACAUAGACCUACGCACUGCUUUAACCACACUCUCGAUCUCGUCCUGGCUUAUGGCCUCGAAACCGAUGCCCUGUUAGUCAGCUCAUUAAAUCCUCUAUUAUCUG